rnacentral:tRNA from 1 species
GCUUUUGGUUCAGUGGUAGAAUGAGCGCCUUCCACGCGGGCGCCUCGGGUUCGAUUCCCGGCCGAUGCA